GUUCUAGAGCAGUGUGCGGACCAAAAUGGCCCUCAAUUCGUUUGUUAAGUCAAUUUUUUGCCAUCUUUGCUACAGUGAAAUGGCAUCGCUACCCUCCUUUGCCACGCGUUUGUCGUCGAUGAUUUCAGAAGAGGGUAUCCCUUCUUCGUGGACUUCAACUUUUCUCUUUUCUGGACUCUUCUUUCCAAUUCUAUCUCUGUCUCACAAACCUUCUCUCAAUCCUGGCCUUGCUCUCCCAUCUCGAGUUCUCUCUGUGUCUCGCCUUUUUCCAAAAAAUGGUUAAGUCAGUAAAAUUUGUUUAGAUCCUUUUGUCGGAGGCUGCAGACGACAACCCUCGCUUGCUAAAAAAUAGUCAGUUUGGUCUCGAUUUGCAGAAAAUUUGGAGCGGAUCACGUUUCCUGCUGCCGAUUUGGAGAUCCGGUUUUUCGGGUUUCUGACAUUAAGCUGAAGUAACUAGAGUUGAGAAAUAACAAUUGGAGCUUAGAGUCUUUGCAUAUGAAAGUUGAAUAUGAGCCUUUGAAAGGCUUUGUAAACGUGUUCUCAAUUGUAGGGCAUUGGAUAGCAAUUUUGGGUUUUUAUAAAAAUUCACUUUCAAAGAUUGAGUAAAAAUAUAUAAAGGUUGUUGGUGAUCGGUAUAAAGACAAUAAAAAAGGGAUUGGUGGUUCUACUUUGGGUUGAGAAAGGAAAAAAAAAAAAAAAAGAAGACCAUUUUGUUGGCAAUCAAUAUAAAGACAUAAUACAAAAGGGUUGAGAGAUCAACACAGAAAGCGUAAGAAAUAGAUGAACAAAGCAGAUUGAGCUGAAUAAUCUCAAUCAAACAACAAUCAUAAUUCAACGCGCGGGCUCUAUUACUAGUAUAUACUAAAACUCAAACUCCCUGGUACUGUUCUAGAGCAGUAAAAUGGCGAAACAGCCCCUCAAAAUUUUUCGUCCUCUCCAUUUUGGUGUUGCCUUUCUACAGUAACAAGACCGUUUUGCCCUUAUGUUUCUACGUGUCUUUCAUCACUGGGUGCUUUGGCUUCGGUUGUUCUAGAUAUUUCUUUCCGUUUUCCUCUCUUGCAUACCUCGAGUUAGUUUGUUUGUCGCCGCCUAUUUCUCUUCGCCUGGGAUUCUAUUUUCUGUCGUUGUGCUGCUUCGUUGAUUUUGUUGUUCUUCGAUUACUUAUCAGAAUUGUUAAUUUCGGCCUUUUUAUGGUUCGAUUGGAAUUAUUUUUUGGCUGAUUUGAUCACUGUUUGCAAAAAUUUGUACCAAUUUGGUUUCGAUUGGAAUUUCUGGGCUCCUCUAAUCCAACAUUUCCAGGUGAGAAAGUUGCUUAAAUUUUGAUCUUUAUUGAACUCAGGUAAGCAUCUUCAGUAUUUCAGAUUGAUUUGAAGGAAUUUUUUGCCCAGAAAAGCUAGGGUUUUCUGAACCUGAUACUCGGUGACCUUUAGAGCAGCUUCAUUCUCUCUUCUUCUCCGACCAUGGUUGCUGAUCCACAGGGCAUCAAGAUCAUUUGAUGAGUAUGAAGGGUAGAAGUUGCGUAGAACCAGUUCAAGCUCUAAUCAUUUAGCAAUCAAAUAUCUUCAGUCAUAGGUUUGGGCCUUACCAUCUGUAUUUUAAUGUUUGUUUUAUACCAUUUCCUACAUUGUUUUGUUGUUUUAGGUUGUAGAUGAAAUGUAAAGUGUUAUUUAUUCCAAGUAAAAUUAAAAAGGAAACUAGGUCCCCUUCAAAAUGCAUGGAAUAAGCCUAUGGGUUAUUUAUUAUUGUUUAUUUUCUGUGUGCACGUCACUGUUUACUCACUUGGAGACUCGCUCCUAUCGUACACAAUUUUCAUGUACCUCCCUGUCUCUCUUCUAUCAAUUUUUGUAGUUCUACAUUUGUGUGUUCUGUUUGUUGAUCAAAUUUAAUGAAUUAGAUCGAUGGUUUUAAUUUUUUAAUACUAGUCAUGACUUUGGCAAUGAGAGGUCCAAAUGUUGCAUAUAUCAUCCAGAUUAGUUCGUCUGUGGAGCUAAUGGAAAGAUAAUGUCAUAACAAUGUUGUAUUGUUUUCUUGGAUGGAGAGUUGAUUGCCCUGUUUUUAUGUGUUUGGUAAUGCAGAUAUGAGAAUGUAAUUGUGGUGGAGAAUAUAGAGAAGAUGGUAGGAUCUUAUUUUCCAACAGAUAAGGGCAGUUUUUGGUUUUGGCAUUUAAGAUAUUUAAUUAGGGUUUCUCUUGCAAUUGUAGAAUUUGUUAAUUUUGGAAGCAUGAAUUAAAUGUUUGGGAUUAACUUACAAUGCUUCCUAUCAAAACCAAUCAAAACCAUUUUCUGAAUCUAAUGUUACAAUGUUGUGCACUCUCAUUGAUAAGCAGAUUUUCAUUAUGAUGAAUUUUCAGUCUUUCUCAAAAUCUCCAUAACUAAAAUUCAUGUGGCAUUCGGUGUGAAUUUUGUCGGAUUUGUCUCAUUGCAUUGUAUUGAUUUCUUGUAUUGUUACCAUGCCCAUCAAUUUUUCCUUUUUAUUCCUAACUGUUUUCACUUUCAAGGAAAAGAGGUUUCUUGUUUGAUGCCUUGCAGGAAAGCUGUGGUUUUGACAAUUAGGGCAAAUAAACGUCACUUAUGAAGAGGAUGAUUGCACCAUCCACCAAGUUGGAAAAGGAGGUGAAUCUUUGAUAUGGCAGAUCUGGAACUUUUACGUAUUGAUUUUAACCAACUCCUUUUUAGGUGUAAUUUUGGACUUAUUUUGUUUUGAAGUCGACUAUAUUUGUUUUAGCUUCUGAUGAGGUGCAAGGCUUGCUAGGGAAGAUGCAUUUGUCCAAAAAUGUCUGCUUUCAAGUUCUUUUUGCAUUAGAGAUGAAAUAUGUAACAUUACAAUAUAUGUUUCUGAGAUUGAGAAUGUGUUGUAGGCUUUCUACAUUUUAUGAAAAUUAAAAAAAAAAAAUAAUAAUUACCUCAA